rnacentral:rRNA from 1 species
UCCCCUCUCCAGUGAGAAUGCCCUUAAUAUCAAUUUAGAUCAAGAGGAGCAGGUAUUAAGCACACUAACUAGUAGCUCAAGAUGCCUUGCUUAACCACACCCCCAAGGGAUACAGCAGUGAUAAAAAUUUAGCAAUAAACGUAAGUUUGACUAAGCUAUGCUACUCCAGGGUUGGUAAAUUUCGUGCCAGCCACCGCGGUCAUACGAUUAACCCAAACUAAUAAACAUCGGCGUAAAGCGUGAUUUAAAAUCAAAUAACAACUAAGCUGUAAAAAGUAAUAGUUGUAAACAAAAAUAAACAACGAAAGUGAUUUUAUAGUCUUCGAACUCACGAUAGCUAAGACCCAAACUGGGAUUAGAUACCCCACUAUGCUUAGCCCUAAACUUAGAUAAUUUCCUAACAAAAUUAUUCGCCAGAGAACUACAAGCCAGAGCUUAAAACUCAAAGGACUUGGCGGUGCUUUAUACCCGCCUAGAGGAGCCUGUUCUAUAAUCGAUAAACCCCGAUAAACCUUACCACUCUUUGCCAACUCAGCCUAUAUACCGCCAUCUUCAGCAAACCCUAAAAAGGAGCAAAAGUAAGCUCAAUCAUCACCAUAAAAACGUUAGGUCAAGGUGUAGCCUAUAGAGUGGAAAGCAAUGGGCUACAUUUUCUACCUUAGAACACACGAAAGCCCCUAUGAAACUCUAGGGGCCAAAGGAGGAUUU